CUUGCUAUCCAGAGAGCGGCGUACGGGUGCGUAACACGUGUGCAACCUGCCUUUAUCUGGGGGAUAGCCUUUCGAAAGGAAGAUUAAUACCCCAUAAUAUGGUGUCCGGCAUCGGUCGCCAUUGAAAGCCUCGGCGGAUAGAGAUGGGCACGCGCAAGAUUAGAUAGUUGGCGGGGUAACGGCCCACCAAGUCGAUGAUCUUUAGGGGUCCUGAGAGGGAGAUCCCCCACACUGGUACUGAGACACGGACCAGACUCCUACGGGAGGCAGCAGUGAGGAAUAUUGGACAAUGGGUGGAAGCCUGAUCCAGCCAUCCCGCGUGAAGGAUGACGGUCCUAUGGAUUGUAAACUUCUUUUGUACAGGGAUAAACCUGCCCUCGUGAGGGCAGCUGAAGGUACUGUACGAAUAAGCACCGGCUAACUCCGUGCCAGCAGCCGCGGUAAUACGGAGGGUGCGAGCGUUAUCCGGAUUUAUUGGGUUUAAAGGGUCCGUAGGCGGGCCUGUAAGUCAGUGGUGAAAUCUCAUAGCUUAACUAUGAAACUGCCAUUGAUACUGCAGGCCUUGAGUAAAUUUGAAGUGGCUGGAAUAAGUAGUGUAGCGGUGAAAUGCAUAGAUAUUACUUAGAACACCGAUUGCGAAGGCAGGUCACUAAGAUUUAACUGACGCUGAUGGACGAAAGCGUGGGGAGCGAACAGGAUUAGAUACCCUGGUAGUCCACGCCAUAAACGAUGCUAACUCGUUUUUGGAUCUUCGGGUUCAGAGACCAAGCGAAAGUGAUAAGUUAGCCACCUGGGGAGUACGUCCGCAAGGAUGAAACUCAAAGGAAUUGACGGGGGCCCGCACAAGCGGUGGAUUAUGUGGUUUAAUUCGAUGAUACGCGAGGAACCUUACCAAGACUUAAAUGGGAAUUGACAGAUUUAGAAAUAGAUCCUCCUUCGGGCAAUUUUCAAGGUGCUGCAUGGUUGUCGUCAGCUCGUGCCGUGAGGUGUUAGGUUAAGUCCUGCAACGAGCGCAACCCCUGCCAACAGUUGCCAUCAUUCAGUUGGGGACUCUGUUGGGACUGCCUACGCAAGUAGAGAGGAAGGUGGGGAUGACGUCAAAUCAUCACGGCCCUUACGUCUUGGGCCACACACGUAAUACAAUGGCCGGUACAGAGGGCAGCUACCUGGUGACAGGAUGCGAAUCUCGAAAGCCGGUCUCAGUUCGGAUUGGAGUCUGCAACUCGACUCUAUGAAGCUGGAAUCGCUAGUAAUCGCGCAUCAGCCAUGGCGCGGUGAAUACGUUCCCGGGCC
rnacentral:rRNA from 1 species